AUCGAAUAGUCGGGGGGCCGUUGUCGUUUAACGAUGACAGGCUGAGAUCGCAUUGCGAGACCCGUUGAACCUGAUUCAGUUAGCACUGACGUAGGGAACUAUUGCACCGUUUGC
rnacentral:ncRNA from 2 species